GCGACAGGCCUAACACAUGCAAGUCAGGGGCAGCACAAGGAGCAAUCUGAGGUGGCGACCGGCGCACGGGUGAGUAACACGUAUGCAACCUGCCUGUAAGCGGGGAAUAACCCGUUGAAAGACGGACUAAUACCGCAUAAUACUAAAUUACUGCAUGGUAAUUUAUUUAAACAUUUAUGGCUUACAGAUGGGCAUGCGCAUGAUUAGCUAGUUGGAGAGGUAACGGCUCCCCAAGGCAACGAUCAUUAGGGGUUCUGAGAGGAAGGUCCCCCACACUGGUACUGAGACACGGACCAGACUCCUACGGGAGGCAGCAGUGAGGAAUAUUGGUCAAUGGACGAGAGUCUGAACCAGCCAAGUCGCGUGCAGGAAGAAUGUUCCCUAUGGAUUGUAAACUGCUUUUGCAGGGGAAUAAAGUGCAUCACGUGUGAUGUUUUGUAUGUACUCUGCGAAUAAGGAUCGGCUAACUCCGUGCCAGCCGCCGC
rnacentral:rRNA from 1 species